UGAGCUUGUCCUGCGUUACUUAAUGGGAGAUAAUUGUGAAUUAAGACAAAGCACCGAGACCAUACUUCCUUCCGGGUAUCAUCUUCCGGUUAGGAAGAACUUUCCAUUCAGACAAGCUAUGGACAAAGCACUUCUACAAAUGUACGAAGCUGGAAUUCUCCGAUAUUUAAAACAGAAAUGGUGGCCUCGGUUAUCAGAUUGCCGGUUGGUUUCGUCUACAUACAUCAGUUUGGAUCUCCACCAGGUAGUGCUGCCUUUCAUCAUUCUUCUGGCGGGUCUAUGGGCGGCUCUCUGGUGUUUGGUUGGGGAAACUCUGUUCGAUAUUUGGAAGAAAAAACGUUAUCAACGUUUACUGAAAAAAGUAUGAGCAGUCUUUGGAAUCUCCACCGAAUGUUUAAGCCUGUAUGUAAAAAUCGGAAAACUGGACGAUCUCCAAAAACAAACUUUUUUAUAAUCUAGUUCCAAUUUGUUUUGUUUUCCAA
rnacentral:misc_RNA from 1 species